rnacentral:rRNA from 1 species
AUUGAACGCUGGCGGCAGGCCUAACACAUGCAAGUCGAACGGUAACAGGAAGAAGCUUGCUUCUUUGCUGACGAGUGGCGGACGGGUGAGUAAUGUCUGGGAAACUGCCUGAUGGAGGGGGAUAACUACUGGAAACGGUAGCUAAUACCGCAUAACGUCGCAAGACCAAAGAGGGGGACCUUCGGGCCUCUUGCCAUCGGAUGUGCCCAGAUGGGAUUAGCUAGUAGGUGGGGUAACGGCUCACCUAGGCGACGAUCCCUAGCUGGUCUGAGAGGAUGACCAGCCACACUGGAACUGAGACACGGUCCAGACUCCUACGGGAGGCAGCAGUGGGGAAUAUUGCACAAUGGGCGCAAGCCUGAUGCAGACAUGCCGCGUGUAUGAAGAAGGCCUUCGGGUUGUAAAGUACUUUCAGCGGGGAGGAAGGGAGUAAAGUUAAUACCUUUACUCAUUGACGUUACCCGCAGAAGAAGCACCGGCUAACUCCGUG